rnacentral:lncRNA from 1 species
AAAACUGCCCUUUUUUAUUAAAAUCUUGUCCCCCAAGGAUGCAACAGACCCGCCACAAAUACAGAAAAUUUUUGAAACAAAUAGAUAGAGUCUUCUCUAUAUUUGCACGGCGAGGCACAUGUACAAUUGUCAACCAUGACCUCCACUCACACAAACAACAAUCACGAGUCACAAAGAUUAUCAUUUCACAUUAUACAGCUAGUCGUCCUUUGUCACAACCAUUCCACAUCAAUUUUACAUUUAUUCCGACU